rnacentral:lncRNA from 1 species
GACUUUCUGCUUUUCCUUAGUUAGGUCAUGAGACCAAUCACAGAAAUUAUUUAUUUAUACAUUUUCAAAAUGUCUUUUCCUCUCCUACCCUUCUUCAUGCUAUUUCAAAAAUUACACCACUGGAUAAAUUUAAAUGUUCUUCCUGUUUUGCAUCUAAACCCAGCAGUGAACUAUCACUAGAGAAAAACACCUGACUUCAGGGAACACCUGGUCUCAGAUAAAUUCAUGACCACAGACCUCAAGUAGGUGCUGAGCACAGCCCCACCAUCCUCUUUCUACCCCCAUCCUCCACUCCCAAACUUGACUAUUUCAUAAUGGCUCCAUGGUCAAAGUUUGAUACCCAUGCCUCAGCUGAUAGUCUUGCCUCCUAUUUCACUGAGGAAAUGGAUGCUGUCAUAAAACAAAAUACUUCAUUUUAUCACUAACAAUUCUACCUAAUUAUCAUUAUCUAUGCCCAUGAACUCCAUUUUCCACCUGUUACAACUGAUGAACUUUAUUGCUAUGGCCAAAACUUCCAAUGAUACACUGGAUCUCAUCCCUUUUUUGGUCAACUCAAGAACUUUAUUCCUACAGUUAUCCAUCUUUCCUAAAACAUAUAUCUCUAUAUCUGUAGGAUUAGUUUGCUUUUACAGACCAUGUCUUUGUGUUGGACAUGUCAAUUUAAUAUGCCUGCCAUAUCCCAAUUCCAUUUAACAUAAUUUGUCUUCUUCGAACUCUUAAAAGAGAUAUGCAAC